rnacentral:rRNA from 1 species
UGCGCAGGCGGGCUUGUAAGUCAGUGGUGAAAUACUGCCGCUCAACGGUAGAACUGCCAUUGAUACUGCAAGUCUUGAGUAUGGCUGAGGUAGGCGGAAUGUGUCGUGUAGCGGUGAAAUGCAUAGAUAUGACACAGAACGCCGAUUGCGAAGGCAGCUUACUAAGCCAUUACUGACGCUGAGGCACGAAAGCGUGGGGAGCGAACAGGAUUAGAUACCCUGGUAGUCC